AUGCUGGAGGUAUCAGAAGUGCGAAUGCUGACAUAAGUAACGAUAAAGCGGGUGAAAAGCCCGCUCGCCGGAAGACCAAGGGUUCCUGUCCAACGUUAAUCGGGGCAGGGUGAGUCGACCCCUAAGGCGAGGCCGAAAGGCGUAGUCGAUGGGAAACAGGUUAAUAUUCCUGUACUUGGUGUUACUGCGAAGGGGGGACGGAGAAGGCUAUGUUGGCCGGGCGACGGUUGUCCCGGUUUAAGCGUGUAGGCUGGUUUUCCAGGCAAAUCCGGAAAAUCAAGGCUGAGGCGUGAUGACGAGGCACUACGGUGCUGAAGCAACAAAUGCCCUGCUUCCAGGAAAAGCCUCUAAGCAUCAGGUAACAUCAAAUCGUACCCCAAACCGACACAGGUGGUCAGGUAGAGAAUACCAAGGCGCUUGAGAGAACUCGGGUGAAGGAACUAGGCAAAAUGGUGCCGUAACUUCGGGAGAAGGCACGCUGAUAUGCAGGUGAAGUCCCUCGCGGAUGGAGCUGAAAUCAGUCGAAGAUACCAGCUGGCUGCAACUGUUUAUUAAAAACACAGCACUGUGCAAACACGAAAGUGGACGUAUACGGUGUGACGCCUGCCCGGUGCCGGAAGGUUAAUUGAUGGGGUUAGCGCAAGCGAAGCUCUUGAUCGAAGCCCCGGUAAACGGCGGCCGUAACUAUAACGGUCCUAAGGUAGCGAAAUUCCUUGUCGGGUAAGUUCCGACCUGCACGAAUGGCGUAAUGAUGGCCAGGCUGUCUCCACCCGAGACUCAGUGAAAUUGAACUCGCUGUGAAGAUGCAGUGUACCCGCGGCAAGACGGAAAGACCCCGUGAACCUUUACUAUAGCUUGACACUGAACAUUGAGCCUUGAUGUGUAGGAUAGGUGGGAGGCUUUGAAGUGUGGACGCCAGUCUGCAUGGAGCCGGCCUUGAAAUACCACCCUUUAAUGUUUGAUGUUCUAACGUUGACCCGUGAUCCGGGUUGCGGACAGUGUCUGGUGGGUAGUUUGACUGGGGCGGUCUCCUCCUAAAGAGUAACGGAGGAGCACGAAGGUUGGCUAAUCCUGGUCGGACAUCAGGAGGUUAGUGCAAUGGCAUAAGCCAGCUUGACUGCGAGCGUGACGGCGCGAGCAGGUGCGAAAGCAGGUCAUAGUGAUCCGGUGGUUCUGAAUGGAAGGGCCAUCGCUCAACGGAUAAAAGGUACUCCGGGGAUAACAGGCUGAUACCGCCCAAGAGUUCAUAUCGACGGCGGUGUUUGGCACCUCGAUGUCGGCUCAUCACAUCCUGGGGCUGAAGUAGGUCCCAAGGGUAUGGCUGUUCGCCAUUUAAAGUGGUACGCGAGCUGGGUUUAGAACGUCGUGAGACAGUUCGGUCCCUAUCUGCCGUGGGCGCUGGAGAACUGAGGGGGGCUGCUCCUAGUACGAGAGGACCGGAGUGGACGCAUCACUGGUGUUCGGGUUGUCAUGCCAAUGGCACUGCCCGGUAGCUAAAUGCGGAAGAGAUAAGUGCUGAAAGCAUCUAAGCACGAAACUUGCCCCGAGAUGAGUUCUCCCUGACUCCUUGAGAGUCCUGAAGGAACGUUGAAGACGACGACGUUGAUAGGCCGGGUGUGUAAGCGCAGCGAUGCGUUGAGCUAACCGGUACUAAUGAACCGUGAGGCUUAACC
rnacentral:rRNA from 1 species